rnacentral:rRNA from 1 species
GUGUCAGCCGCCGCGGUAAUACGUAGGGAGCGAGCGUUGUCCGGAUUUAUUGGGCGUAAAGCGCGCGUAGGCGGUUUGGUAAGCCGGGUGUGAAACCCUCGAGCUCAACUCGGGGCGGCCACUCGGAACUGCCAUGACUUGAGUCUGGUAGGGGAACACGGAAUACCUGGUGUAGCGGUGAAAUGCUUAGAUAUCAGGUGGAACACCAGUGGCGAAGGCGGUGUUCUGGGCCAGUACUGACGCUGAGGCGCGAAAGCGUGGGGAGCGAACAGGAUUAGAUACCCUGGUAGUCC